GUAAGCUACUAAGAGCGAAUGGUGGAUGCCUUGACUGGUAAAGGCGAUGAAGGACGUACUAGACUGCGAUAAGCUACGGGGAGCUGUCAAGAAGCUUUGAUCCGUAGAUUUCCGAAUGGGGCAACCCAAUGUAUAGAGAUAUACAUUACCUAUAUAGGAGCGAACGAGGGGAAUUGAAACAUCUUAGUACCCUCAGGAAAAGAAAUCAAUAGAGAUUGCGUCAGUAGCGGCGAGCGAAAGCGCAAGAGGGCAAACCCAGUGCUUGCACUGGGGGUUGUAGGACUGCAAUGUGCAAGAGGUAAGUUUAGCAGAACAUUCUGGAAAGUAUAACCAUAGAGGGUGAUAGUCCCGUAUGCGAAAAACAAACCUUAGCUAGCAGUAUCCUGAGUAGGGCGGGACACGAGGAAUCCUGUCUGAAUCCGGGUCGACCACGAUCCAACCCUAAAUACUAAUACCAGAUCGAUAGUGCACAAGUACCGUGAGGGAAAGGUGAAAAGAACUGAGGUGAUCAGAGUGAAAUAGAACCUGAAACCAUUUGCUUACAAUCAUUCAGAGCCCUAUGUAGCAAUACAGGGUGAUGGACUGCCUUUUGCAUAAUGAGCCUGCGAGUUGUGGUGUCUGGCAAGGUUAAGCAAACGCGAAGCCGUAGCGAAAGCGAGUCUGAAUAGGGCGCUUAGUCAGAUGCUGCAGACCCGAAACGAAGUGAUCUAUCCAUGAGCAAGUUGAAGCUAGUGUAAGAACUAGUGGAGGACUGAACCCAUAGGCGUUGAAAAGCCCCGGGAUGACUUGUGGAUAGGGGUGAAAGGCCAAUCAAACUUCGUGAUAGCUGGUUCUCUCCGAAAUAUAUUUAGGUAUAGCGUUGUGUCGUAAUAUAAGGGGGUAGAGCACUGAAUGGGCUAGGGCAUACACCAAUGUACCAAACCCUAUCAAACUCCGAAUACCUUAUAUGUAAUCACAGCAGUCAGGCGGCGAGUGAUAAAAUCCGUCGUCAAGAGGGAAACAACCCAGACUACCAGCUAAGGUCCCUAAAUCUUACUUAAGUGGAAAACGAUGUGAAGUUACUUAAACAACCAGGAGGUUGGCUUAGAAGCAGCCAUCCUUUAAAGAAAGCGUAAUAGCUCACUGGUCUAGUGAUUUUGCGCGGAAAAUAUAACGGGGCUAAAGUAAGUACCGAAGCUGUAGACUUAGUUUACUAAGUGGUAGGAGAGCGUUCUAUUUGCGUCGAAGGUAUACCGGUAAGGAGUGCUGGAGCGAAUAGAAGUGAGCAUGCAGGCAUGAGUAGCGAUAAUUAAUGUGAGAAUCAUUAACGCCGUAAACCCAAGGUUUCCUACGCGAUGCUCGUCAUCGUAGGGUUAGUCGGGUCCUAAGUCGAGUCCGAAAGGGGUAGACGAUGGCAAAUUGGUUAAUAUUCCAAUACCAACAUUAGUGUGCGAUGGAAGGACGCUUAGGGCUAAGGGGGCUAGCGGAUGGAAGUGCUAGUCUAAGGUCGUAGGAGGUUGUACAGGCAAAUCCGUAUAACAAUACUCCGAGAACUGAAAGGCUUUUUGAAGUCUUCGGAUGGAUAGAAGAACCCCUGAUGCCGUCGAGCCAAGAAAAGUUUCUAAGUUUAGCUAAUGUUGCCCGUACCGUAAACCGACACAGGUGGGUGGGAUGAGUAUUCUAAGGCGCGUGGAAGAACUCUCUUUAAGGAACUCUGCAAAAUAGCACCGUAUCUUCGGUAUAAGGUGUGGUUAGCUUUGUAUUAGGAUUUACUCCGAAAGCAAGGAAACUUACAACAAAGAGUCCCUCCCGACUGUUUACCAAAAACACAGCACUCUGCUAACUCGUAAGAGGAUGUAUAGGGUGUGACGCCUGCCCGGUGCUCGAAGGUUA
rnacentral:rRNA from 1 species